AGUGAACGCUGGCGGUAGGCCUAACACAUGCAAGUCGAACGGCAGCACAGUAAGAGCUUGCUCUUACGGGUGGCGAGUGGCGGACGGGUGAGGAAUACAUCGGAAUCUACUUUUUCGUGGGGGAUAACGUAGGGAAACUUACGCUAAUACCGCAUACGACCUACGGGUGAAAGCAGGGGAUCUUCGGACCUUGCGCGAUUGAAUGAGCCGAUGUCGGAUUAGCUAGUUGGCGGGGUAAAGGCCCACCAAGGCGACGAUCCGUAGCUGGUCUGAGAGGAUGAGCGGCCAAAGUGGAGAUAGGACACGGCCCGAGCACCUCGGGGGGGCAGCAGGGGGAAGAAUUGAAAAAUGGGGGGAGGCCUAAUCCAGCCAAACGGGGAGGGAGAAGAAGGCCUUGGGGUUGUAAAGCCCUUUUGUUGGGAAAAAAAAGCGGCAGGUUAAAACCCCGCUGUUCUGACGGUACCCAAAGAAAAAGAACCGGCUAACUUCGG
rnacentral:rRNA from 1 species